UUGGAGGGCAAGUCUGGUGCCAGCAGCCGCGGUAAUUCCAGCUCCAAUAGCGUAUAUUAAAGUUGUUGCAGUUAAAAAGCUCGUAGUUGAAUUUCGGGGUUCUACCGUUGGUCGGGCUUUGUCUGUACUGGUGUGUAGAAUUUCUACCUUCUGGGGAACCAUCAUGCUAUUAAUUUAGCGUGGUGGGAAACCAGGACCUUUACCUUGAAAAAAUUAGUGUGUUCAAAGCAGGCUUAUGUCUGAAUACAUUAGCGUGGAAUAAUAGAAUAGGACGGUGGUCCUGUUUUGUUGGUUUCUGAAUCACCGUAAUGAUUAAUAGGGAUAGUUGGGGGCAUUAGUAUUCAAUUGUCAGAGGUGAAAUUCUUGGAUUUAUUGAAGACUAACUACUGCGAAAGCAUUUGCCAAGGAUGUUUUCAUUAAUCAAGAACGAAAGUUAGGGGAUCGAAGACGAUCAGAUACCGUCGUAGUCUUAACCAUAAACUAUGCCGACUAGGGAUCGGAUGAUGUUAAUUUUUUAAUGACUCAUUCGGCGCCUUACGGGAAAC
rnacentral:rRNA from 1 species